CCAAUAGCGUAUAUUAAAGUUGUUGCAGUUAGAAAGCUCGUAGUUGAAUUUUAGGCCUGGCCGGGCGGUCCGUCUUUGGCGAGUACUGUCCUGUGUCGGGUCCACCUUCUGGUGAACCAGUAUGUCCUUUAUUGGGUGUGCCGGGGAGCCAGGACCAUUACCUUGAAAAAAUUAGAGUGUUUAAAGCAGGCAUUUGCUUGAAUAGAUUAGCAUGGAAUAAUAGAAUAGGACGUUGUGGUUCUAUUUUGUUGGUUUCUAGGACCACCGUAAUGAUUAAUAGGGAUAGUUGGGGGCAUUAGUAUUCAAUUGUCAGAGGUGAAAUUCUUGGAUUUAUUGAAGACUAACUAUUGCGAAAGCAUUUGCCAAGGAUGUUUUCAUUAAUCAAGAACGAAAGUUAGGGGAUCGAAGACGAUCAGAUACCGUCGUAGUCUUAACCAUAAACUAUGCCGACUAGGAAUCGGGCGACGUUAUUUUCAUGACUCGCUCGGCGCCUUAUG
rnacentral:rRNA from 1 species